AUUGAACGCUGGCGGAAUGCUUUACACAUGCAAGUCGAACGGCAGCACGGGGGCAACCCUGGUGGCGAGUGGCGAACGGGUGAGUAAUACAUCGGAACGUGCCCAGUCGUGGGGGAUAACGUGGCGAAAGUUACGCUAAUACCGCAUACGAUCUACGGAUGAAAGCGGGGGACCGUAAGGCCUCGCGCGAUUGGAGCGGCCGAUGUCAGAUGAGGUAGUUGGUGAGGUAAAGGCUCACCAAGCCGACGAUCUGUAGCUGGUCUGAGAGGACGACCAGCCACACUGGGACUGAGACACGGCCCAGACUCCUACGGGAGGCAGCAGUGGGGAAUUUUGGACAAUGGGCGCAAGCCUGAUUCAGCCAUUCCGCGUGCAGGACGAAGGCCUUCGGGUUGUAAACUGCUUUUGUACGGAACGAAAAGGCUCUGGUUAAUACCUGGGGCUCAUGACGGUACCGUAAGAAUAAGCACCGGCUAACUACGUGCCAGCCGCCGCAGUAA
rnacentral:rRNA from 1 species